ACAAAUCCAGUUUCAUAAAUUAUUUCAAAUAAAAAAAUAACAAUCAAAAAAAUAAAAAUCAAAUAUGACAAAUUAAAAAAUUAAAAGAUGAUGAAAUUGAAAAAUAAUUUCAAUUUCAUAAAUAACUUCAAAUAAAAUAAAUAGUAAUAAAAAAAAUGAAUAUCAAAACUGAUAAAUAAAAAAUUCAAUUAAGAAAAUGAUAAGAAAAAAACAAAU
rnacentral:lncRNA from 1 species